GAUGAACGCUGGCGGCGUGCUUAACACAUGCAAGUCGAACGAUGAAGCUGGAGCUUGCUCUGGUGGAUUAGUGGCGAACGGGUGAGUAACACGUGAGCAACCUGCCCCUGACUCUGGGAUAACAGCCGGAAACGGCUGCUAAUACCGGAUAUGCACCAUGAACGCAUGUUCUGUGGUGGGAAAGAUUUUUCGGUUGGGGAUGGGCUCGCGGCCUAUCAGCUUGUUGGCGAGGUAAUGGCUCACCAAGGCGUCGACGGGUAGCCGGCCUGAGAGGGUGACCGGCCACACUGGGACUGAGACACGGCCCAGACUCCUACGGGAGGCAGCAGUGGGGAAUAUUGCACAAUGGGCGAAAGCCUGAUGCAGCAACGCCGCGUGAGGGAUGACGGCCUUCGGGUUGUAAACCUCUUUUAGCAGGGAAGAAGCGAGAGUGACGGUACCUGCAGAAAAAGCGCCGGCUAACUACGUG
rnacentral:rRNA from 1 species